UACAAGGCUUGUUGUAUAAGGAUAUCUCAAGUCAUGUUAGCAUAUUCAUUUUAAAAUCACAUACGAAAAGGCGUUUAAUAAUUUGGGAUAUAUCUUGAAACGUUGUUUAUUUUAUUGAAAACGGUCAUGGAUUCAAAACGGUUGAAAGUCGAAUCUUCUAUUUGUGUCAGAGAAGGUGAUUUGGGUCGAGGUCUUUUUUUUAAAGGUUCUCAUACAAAUAACGCAGUCGUUCCUAACGAUAUACUUUUUCAUGAAGUACCUUGUGAAACAGUCCCCAUGUUUUUCUCCGAAUUAUGUUGCCAAUUAUGUAAUAUAUGCUUGCGACCCCUACAAACACUACACACAAGAAUCAAUCGUGUUUUAAAGCUUCAGACACAUAAAAACACAACAUGUUUAACAAGAAGGGAAAAAAAAAAAAUUCAACAAUUUGAAAUAACUGUUUUGAAUGCCUUUUCGAACAAAAUUAAGAAAGUUCAUAUUUAUAAAUGUCAAACCUGUCAUACGCAAGUGUGUUCACGUAAUUGCUGGAAGUCUAUGCAGUCAAAGUCAUGGCAUCGUGUUGUCUGUCAAUCCUUCUCUACCGCGCUUCCUGAUAACGCAUUAACUAGCAUUUCCUCUAUUAUAAAUUUAUGGAAUCAUUAUGUUAACUAUUCUCAAAAAACGUAUGAAGGUUUUUUACUCGUCGCUCGUUUACUCUGCCGUGUUGCCGACAGUUAUGAAACCCACGGACUACAAAAAGCUUUUUUAACAAAAUCGCUCCUUAUAACAUUAAAUCAAAAAAAGGAUAUUUAUUAUUGGGCCUUUUUGAGAGAAGGAAAAAAAGCAUAUCAUCGAAUGAAUCCUAAGACUGUUUCUGCAAAAGAUAUUGAGGAGACUUAUCAAAAAUCUCUCGAAAAUUUUAGUUUACUCGAAGAAUUUUUUAACCAGCGAGCGUACUUUAUGCACAAGACUUUUGAGGAUUUCACACCGUUUCAGUUCCAUUAUGUCAAUAUAGAUUUUUCAUUUUAUACGCGUCUUUUGGUUCAGUUAGAACUGGUUAAUGUCCAAGCCAUUUUAGAAGAUCCAAAUUAUGAUGCAUUUAGUCAGUUUAUCUCAUCCACGACUCUACCCUUCGAUUCUCUAAUCCACUAUCAAAAAAUAUUUCAAAAAGCUACCAAAAUUCUUGAUCCUACUGAAAACGUUACCACGUUAAGUUUUCCAGAAUUACUUACUCUUUUUUUUCGUGAAAUUCAUGGAUACAGUUAUUGUCCUAUUAUUGGCUUGAUGAACCAUAGCUGCUCACCAAAUGUGUCUCUUGAUGUGUACCGAAAUGACACCAAACAAUCGACUCGUAUUCUCCAAUGGUCAUCUAAUGAAUUAACUAUAGGAAUCUCAACAUACCCUCUUCUAUGCAAGAUUGUGCUAAUGGAAAAUUUACGUGCAGGUGAUGAACUACUACUUUCUUAUAUUGAUGAAACGCAACCUUUAGUUAGCCGAUGUCGUCAGCUUAAAGUAGAGUAUGGAUUCGUUUGUCGUUGUACUAAAUGUAUUUAUCAAGCCAAACAAUUUUACUACGAAAACAAACACAAAACAGAAUGAAUGCUUGAUUCAUUUUUUUCAAUCAUCAUCGUUCUUUCAAAGUAAUGGUAUAUUACAAAACUUCCUUAUAUACUGAUCCAAAUUGUUCUGCAUCAUAAUAAAAAAAUAUGAAAAACUAGAUACACUCAAGUAUUUUAUGUUCAAACGUUGCGUGAAGAAAGAAAACGUACUCAACAUCGAAAUAUCUAAAGAUUGUAUGAGCAUCCGUCAUUGACGCUACAGCACAUAAACGAAAAGAGCAUAAGGCACGGGAUUAUAUGAAGUGUCUGAGAUUCUAGGAUAAGUACCUAAUUCAAUAUCUUUUGCCUCUUUUUCUUUUAUAGUGCACGGAAGAGAAAUUAUUUCAUCUGUUUCUAUGAAGGAUAUAACGUCUUCAGUAUAAUAAGACGGUUGUUUUUUAAGAUUUCUUAUCACUUGAAUAAGAACAUCACGUGAAAUGUAGCCAAGAAAUCUUUUUUCUUCAAAUGUGGUUAAGAUAGGGAAACAUUCAAAAGAAGAACUACAGAAUAGCUAAGUAGUUUUUUACGGUUUUCCAAAACAUAGCUUACUUUGUUAGCAUGUUUUCUACAAAAGGGAUAGUAUUGUUUCUUUGUAUCAAUGCAGGAUAACGUUUUAGCAUGGUAGUCGACACCUUAUCAUCUGAACACACCUAAGAUACGUACAUCAACAAAUCGGUUGACUUUUCAAAAAAGAAAGUGAAACGAUAUAAGACACAGUGGACACGCAAACAUUGACGCUUUACCUGCUGAUGAGGCGUUAAAUAUGAAUACCCCUUCAUAUAAAUGUAACAGUCAUAAAUUGACAAUGGACACAGGGCAUCACCAACCCAUUUCGCUAUGAGGACAGCUAUCAUAAAGGGCACAAUAUAAGA